UACGUAGGGGGCAAGCGUUGUCCGGAAUUAUUGGGCGUAAAGAGCGUGUAGGCGGCCAGAUAAGUCCGCUGUGAAAUCUCGAGGCUCAACUUCGAGCUGUCGGUGGAAACUGUCUGGCUAGAGUCCGGAAGAGGAGAAUGGAAUUCCUGGUGUAGCGGUGAAAUGCGCAGAUAUCAGGAGGAACACCGGUGGCGAAGGCGGAUCUCUGGGCCAUUACUGACGCUGAGGAGCGAAAGCGUGGGGAGCGAACAGG
rnacentral:rRNA from 1 species